UCUCUCUCUCUCUCUCUCUCUCUCUCUGUAUAUGUGUGUGUGUGUGUGUGUGUGUGUGAGAGAGAGAGAGAGAGAGAGAGAGAGA